rfam:Rhizobium sp. NT-26 plasmid NT26_p1, complete genome.
GGCUUGUUUUGCGCUGGCGGAGCUCGACCGCCGGUCGAAGUGAUGGCGGGGUUCAUUGAGGCGAAGCGGGCUGAUCCGGCGCGCCUGUCUGAUCG